AAUAUUGGACAAUGGGGGAAACCCUGAUCCAGCAAUGCCGCGUGAAUGAAGAAGGCCUUAGGGUUGUAAAGUUCUUUCACCUGUGAAGAUAAUGACGGUAGCAGGAGAAGAAGCUCCGGCUAACUCCGUGCCAGCAGCCGCGGUAAGACGGAGGGAGCUAGCGUUGUUCGGAAUGACUGGGCGUAAAGGGCGCGUAGGCGGUUUUUUAAGUGAGGCGUGAAAGCCCUGGGCUUAACCCAGGAGGUGCGUUUCAUACUGGAAAACUUGAGUGCGAGAGAGGAAAGUGGAAUUCCUAGUGUAGAGGUGAAAUUCGUAGAUAUUAGGAAGAACACCUGUGGCGAAGGCGGCUUUCUGGCUCGCAACUGACGCUGAGGCGCGAAAGCGUGGGGAGCAAACAGG
rnacentral:rRNA from 1 species